rnacentral:lncRNA from 1 species
GGAGUACUUGGGACUUUCUCAAGGCGCAUGUGUGGUUUCUUGUAGGGUGCAUCUGAGCAACCUGGGGGCUCCGCUUUCAGCGCGUAUGGCAAAAACCCAGAGCAAGCAGCCCUCUAGCUAAUCGUUUCGUCUGGUCACUAGCCCGGUUUGAGGACUCUGGGUGCGAACGGAACCCAACCAGAGUCCCAUCCAUUGGUCACUGACUUGCCGGAGGGGAGAGUCGUGCUCAGAGCCCACACGGCGACGGGGAUACCGUCGCUUCAGUGCUGGGGCUGCCACGAAGCCCCCCCGCAACUUCUCCAGCCCUACCUCUGCGUCCCUCGCCCUGGAGGAGCUUAGGGCGAGAACCCUGCACCGACCCGCGUGCAGCGAGGGCAGGCGGCGAGACGUUCUCCCAACGCGUCUCCCAGGGCUCGGGAGAGCUGUGGGAAGUUUCCUUCCCCACCCCUUCCCCGCCCCCGGCUGGCUGGCACCACCCACCAACCCCCACGCCAAGGCAGUGCCCCGCGGGAGUCGGGAGGAGUCGGCGCCCCCUGGCGGUAGCACCCUUCCGGCAAACGCUCCGCCUACUUCGUGGCCACGCCCCGGCCUCGUGCUCGCCCCGACAAGUCCCGCCCACCACACACCUGGCCGUUGGAAGUAACGGGGAUCGACGGCGUCUAAGAGCGCGCGGACGUUGAAGCUGAGGUAGAGGCGUAGUAAACCGCACCCCGCACAGAGACAGGCCCGGACCCCGGAGUCUCCGCGGGCCGCCGCGCGAGUCUGUGGAGGCGUUCUGGACAUGGAGCCUCCGCCCGAGAGCAGCCAAGAAGGCACCGCUUGCCGCAGCCUGGAAGUCGAUGAACUUGGAGGAGAACCGUUGGAUACGAAGCCUGCGGUGGUCUCCGUAACGGGAGGAGACGUCGAGAAGGAGCUCUGGCCCGAACCUGAGCAGGAAGCCGCGACAGGAGAAGAAAGCCACGGUGGCGCGGGAGCAGCGGGCCCCGUGGACGACGAGAACCACACGGGCGGCGGCUGCGGGCAAGAGCCCCCGCAGCAGCAGCAGCAGGACGAGGCCCAGGCGGCCGCCGAGGGGCCGCAGCCCCAGGAGCGGCAGCAACGCCUCCACCGCAGCGCGUUCCCCCGGCUAGAACUGAAGGAGCUGGAGAGCGUUUUCCAACGCACUCAAUACCCCUACGUGUUCGGGCGGUGAGUGGCUUGCUCUGGCGCCCCCCCCCCCCCCCCCCCUCGAUCCCCUAGGCAUCAAGGUAAAUAUUUUCGUGCAGUGUUUAUUGGCCAGAAGCC